rnacentral:rRNA from 1 species
CACGCCGUAAACGUUGGGCGCUAGGUGUGGGGAACCUUCCACGUUCUCUGUGCCGUAGCUAACGCAUUAAGCGCCCCGCCUGGGGAGUACGGCCGCAAGGCUAAAACUCAAAGGAAUUGACGGGGGCCCGCACAAGCGGCGGAGCAUGCGGCUUAAUUCGAUGCAACGCGAAGAACCUUACCUAGGCUUGACAUAUACCGAAAACUCAUGGAGACAUGGGGUCCGCAAGGGCGGUAUACAGGUGG